GACGAACGCUGGCGGCGUGCCUAAUACAUGCAAGUCGACCUUAGUGGCGGACGGGUGAGUAAUGUCUAGGUAUUUGCCUGGUAGUGGGGGAUAACGUUCGGAAACGGGCCCUGAUACCGCAUACUAUCAGAUGAGCCUUGGUCGGAUUAGCUAGUUGGUGGCGUAAAGGCCUACCAAGGCGACGAUCCGUAACUGGUCUGAGAGGAUGAUCAGUCACACUGGAACUGAGACACGGUCCGGACUCCUACGGGAGGCAGCAGUGGGGAAUAUUGGGCAAUGGGCGAAAGCCUGAUGCAGCCAUGCCGCGUGUAUGAAGAAGGUCUUCGGAUUGUAAAGCACUUUAAGUAGGGAGGCGUUACCAACAGAAUAAGCACCGGCUAACUUCGUGCCAGCAGCCGCGGUAAUUC
rnacentral:rRNA from 1 species